UAGGAAGUUGAUGGAGGAAGAGAGGAAGCACGAUGAUUCCAGUCGAUGAUUUCAGACGAUGAUGCCGAAGAAGUCGAGCAGCCAGUUAAAAGAUCCAACCAAAUCUUCACCCAAACCAUCGUUGCAUCAUCUCUGAAGAACGCCAGGGGCGGUUGUUUCUCUCAUUCCAAAUCCAAUAGAUGGUUGCCUGCCAUCCGAGGAGAGUCAGCGAUCGCUUGGACGCUGCCGCCGGGAGAGAUAACAUCUGAUUGAGGGAGUCGUCCCAGGUCCGGUGUGGCGUGAUCCCACAACUUCCAGCAACACGAUUCCACAGGUCAAAGGCAUAGUCGCAGUCCCAGUAGAGAUGGUCUCUCGAUUUAUCAGUUUGGUUGCAGAGGAGACAAAUGGAUGGGACUGGAAGAUCCCAAGAAAUCAGACGGUCGCGAGUGGGAAUCAUGUUCUGCACUACCAGCCAAGCAUGAAAACUCUGCCAGGGAAUACUUCUAGAACUCCAGAUGACUUUUGCCUAGUUAACUUCCUCUGCAUCGCCUCUAAGCAAGAAGUUGACAAGUUCCAUUACGGUAGAGUGAAGCCAGAGUUGCCUUUAGUGGGAUCCCCAGUCUUGUUAUGCCUCCUUCCAAGAAGUCUUGGGGCUUCCCAAAUGGGCUCCAAUUGUCGAUCCAGAAUCGCCUGUGCUCUCCGUUUUGGAUUUGAAGGUGAAUUAAUGGGGAACCCACACAGGGCCUGGCCUAAAGAAGAGGAGCCAGAUCAGUCGCAAACAGGAAGCUUUAUUCCAAGUCAGGAGAUCUUUAACACCUAGGCCGCCUUCCUCCUUUGGCUUAACAACUGUGGUCCAAGCUACCCGUGCUGUGAUGUGUGCCUCCAGGUUCCCUCUCCACAGGAAGGCACUACACAUUGAGUUUAUCUUCGCAACACAAGCUUUUGGGAGCACAAAAGAAGAACAAAAAAAUGAAGAGAAACGGGUCUUGAUUUGAUGGAGUAGUGGCUCACAGCUAACCAAGGAAAGCUUUCUCGAGUUCAUUGGGACUCCCAGAUAUCUGAAGGCCAAUCCAGAACGGUCCUCAAACUCUCUCAGCACUUGUAGCACACACUGAACUGAUUCUAUGAUUCCUUCAAUGAAUAUUAGGAGAUCAUCAGCAAAUGACAGAUACAGGAGCGCAUCCAGUGAAGCAUCUGGUUUGGAAUCCCCAAGCCUUGAAGACAGGAGAAAAGAAAGUCCCAUGACAGAGUGUCAAAUGCCUUAGCUAUAUCUACCUUGAUGAGAACUUCGGAAUGAGAGUUAGGAUCGUGGCAUUUGCUGAUGAAGGUAGGAAACCCGUGUAAAAGAAGUGAGUGACGGACGUGAUCAAUUUAUCUCUUAUGGUGUUCCAGGCCGCCUUGAAAAAACCUGAGAUGGGAUCUGCAGCAUUUGCGAGACUUGAGCAGGAGAGAUUGAGAAGUCUAGGAGGCUUUGGAACCACUCUGGCGAAGAUGGAACAACUGGAUUCAUGAAAACAGGUCCUAGUACAGAGCAGAAGUGUGAGACAGCAAGGUUACUCAUCUCCAAGGGGUCAGUUAACCAAGUUCCCGAGGGCGUGAGGAGCGCACAAAUGGCAUUGUAGCUCGACCUGACCUGGCAUAUUCUGAAGAAGUAAGCCGUAUUUAGAUCUCCUUCUCUUAACCAAUUGAUCCUAGACUUCUGUCUGAAGAAUAAUUCCUCAAUCUCCCUUAGGAAGUUCCACUUCUGGUGUAGUUCUCUUUCCGAAUGAUAAUUGGCUGGACUCGGAUCAUUCAGUGCCUGUACCUGCACACUUUAGUUUCCACAACUCUCUCUUGAAUCUUUGAAUAAUUAUCUUUGUUUAUCCUCUUUAGAUCACUCUUUAUUUGUUUUAACUUCCAACACAGUUGUGUUAAUGAUUGCAAAGCGCUUCCAGCAUGAAUCCAGACAUCGUUUAUCAACUAAGCAAACCCCGGGUGUUUGGUUAGAUAGUUUUGGAACUUAUAUGGGAAGGUACCAGCUCUAGGGAGGAAGAAGGCAAGGUUUAAGAGACAAGGGGUAUGAUUAGACAUUUCUUGGGGCAGGAACGAGGCUACAUCAUGAGGGUAGGAAUCAAUGGUGAUGUUGUUAACCAGCAGUCUAUCCAGUUUUUUAGCAGUAGGGCUCUCCGGUUGGUUGUUUGUCCACGUAACAAGGACCAAGAUAUCUCAAGUCAAAUAACCCCGCUUGGAGUAGACAAUCCAGCAGUUGGUACAUGAGGUUGUCUGUGAAGUUAACUUCUGGGUUUGAGUGCUCAAAGGGGAAGAGGAUUUGGUUGAAGUCACCACCCACCACCCAGUUUUUGUUGUCAAGAUCAAGCGUGGAUUGAGUAAUGAGGAGAUCGUUCCACAAUUCCACUCUUUCAUCGCUUUGGUUAGAAGCAUAAACAGCGGUGUAGUAGAUGGGACUUGGUUAGGGUUAGAUAGGGCGCAUGUUAGGCACUGUCUAGACUGGAAAAGAAUCUGAACAUCUAGAGGAUCUUUCCAAAUUAGUACAAUGCGUCCAUCAGGGUCUGAUUGAUGAUUAGAGAGAUACUUCCAGCCAGGACAGACUUUAGAUAAGAUAAGGCUUAAGUAGGGUUAUUAUGAAUUUCUAAUAGGGCACCAAAAAGGCAAAAAGCCAAUUUACAAAAGGUUUAUGCUUGCCCGGGUCAUUUAGACCUCGGACAUUCCAAAAAAAAAAGCUUUACGCUCAUUGGGAGGUGGAGGAUCCUCAUGGCGAGGUGGUCCUCUAGAAUCAAAAGAAGAAUUUUUUCUUAAAGAGUUUGGGUCUAGGGGGGGGAGUGAGAGAAGGGUUAGGGGGUAAGGGAGAAAAUUGGUUAAUAGUUAACGGGAAUGAAUUUGAUACAAGUUCAGUGAAGGGGUUUGAAGUGGUGGUGGGAGAAGGAGAGAAGGUAAGGGAGGAUCUGGAACGUUUAAGCGAUGGUCUGGGCGCUUGGAUAUGGGAGGGGAAGGGGUUUGUGUUUGUUUGGGGGGUGGAGGGAAGAGAUGGAAAGGAUGGUACAAGGGGAGUAGAUGAGGAGGAGGCAUGGGGAGUAGGUAAAGGGGGUUCAAGAGGAGCCAAGGAGACAGAGCCACUGGUGAGAUCCUUAACAAUAGGGGCAGCAGGGGAGUAAGUGAGACAGUUGCGUAUGAUAUGACCGAGCUCGUGACAAUGCGAGCAAGUAGGAGGAAAUGAGAGUUCCACAACUUCACCACUCUCACGUUCAAACUCGACCACCUGAGUGUCUUUUGUCUUUUGGUUCACCAACCAGUCCCGCCACCAAGCUUAGCCCUUCGUCAUGACAGAGAUCAAGGGGAACUCCAGUGAUAUGGGCCCAUAUCUGGAUGGCUUUCAGAGGGGGGUGGACAUGGAGUGGUUGGAGUUCCACUGGGCGGUAUGGAACAUAGAGUCACCUACGUACCAGAUGUUCUUUUCCAGUAUUUUCUGUCUGAGCAUCAGGUAUUACUACUCGAGGCCUACCAGUUGGGGAAAUCACAACAGGAGCAAGACGCUUCAGAGGCUUGUCUGCUGAGGCCCUGAGCUUUUCAGUCAGAGUUUGGUUUGGGGUUUGACUGUUCUCAGUGACGGCAGAGGUGGAAGUCGAAGGGAGAGUUUGGUUGAUAAGUAAGGGAGGGGGACAUUGAGUAAAACUUUGGUUGGGACCAGUGUUGGUUUGGAUGGGGGAAGCAGCUUUGUUGGUUUGAGUGGGUGAGGAAGCUUUGGGCGGAAGUACUGGUAGCGUUGUUGAAGGGUAGUUUUUGUGGAAAGGGUUUGGACUGUAGCAAUCUCAGAUCUAUUUUCUGUAACAGUGACAGAAGAAGAUAAGAUAGAGGUUCCUUUCUCUGUUUCCAUUGAAAUGGCUCCAGAGGAGGCAGUUGUUUGUAGCAGGCUCUCGGUAGAGGCCGCAGUAAGGGUGGGGUUCAUCAGCGCCUUACAGUGUCCCUUUCGAGAAGCAUCAGCAAAGAUAGUUUUAGAAGUAGAAUCAGUGAGAGAGGGGAAGUCUACGGGGGGAAAGAGGAGAGGAAGG